CUAACACAUGCAAGUCGAGCGAGAAUCUUCGGUUUGAAUCCUUCGGGAGGAUAACCGGAGAGGAAAGCGGCGGACGGGUGAGUAACGCGUGAGUAACCUGCCUUUAGGAGGGGGACAACAUUUCGAAAGGAAUGCUAAUACCGCAUAAUAUUAUCGUACCGCAUGGUAAGAUAAUCAAAGCGCUUAGCGCCUAAAGAUGGACUCGCGUCUGAUUAGCUAGUUGGUGGGGUAAAGGCCUACCAAGGCGACGAUCAGUAGCCGAACUGAGAGGUUGAUCGGCCACAUUGGGACUGAGACACGGCCCAGACUCCUACGGGAGGCAGCAGUGGGGGAUAUUGCGCAAUGGGGGGAACCCUGACGCAGCAACGCCGCGUGAAGGAAGAAGGUUUUCGGAUCGUAAACUUCUUUAAGUGUGGAAGAUAAUGACGGUACACACAGAAUAAGCCACGGCUAACUACGUGCCAGCAGCCGCGGUAAUACGUAGGUGGCGAGCGUUGUCCGGAUUUACUGGGUGUAAAGGGCGUGU
rnacentral:rRNA from 1 species